GACGUCAAGAGAAGAAAUUCUAUAUAUACGGACCUCCGGGCGCCAUUUCGGUCUUUCGGUAUUGGGAAUUCGCUGCCGCCUGAAAUGGUGCUGAUAAUGGAUGCGGUGCACCUUCUGAUAUCAUAUGGACAGUUACCUGUCAAAGACGGCUGAAAAUCUGAGGCAGUGAAAGCAAGCCAGUCUAGCCAUGGGCACAGGCUCUACUAGGAAAGAAGCUCAAAUGGUGCCAUUUGAGUUGUCUACAACUGUCCACUACUUGCAUGAGCACUUGUCUGCAUCCUUUCCAAUUGGGUCCUGAGUGGAAACUGAAAUAAAAGGUAUAUGAAGCAUCACCUGUACUACAACAGACAGUGCACAACUGAGUUUUAAACAAAGGAAAAUGAAUGGAAGCUUGUGGUAGAAUGAGCCUGUAAACCUGGAGUAGCAGUGGAAGAUUAGCUUCAUUCAAGUCAGAAUUGCAGCUUUUUCUUCAAAACAGGUCAGCAUCAAUCAUUUGGAUACAUUAAUCAUUUGAAUACAUUAAAGAAAGGUGAACAACAAAGAUGAAGGCACCUCAAACUAAGGUAGCUGGCUGCCUGGACAGAUGCAAAACACCAUAACACCAUUUGGAAUUUUGGAGCUUCAAUACAAUAAAAACCUAUCUGCUGAAAAUA